CACUUUAUUAAGAAAAAUAAGCAGUAUAUUACUUAAAAUUUACUCUAGAUUUAAUCUUGAUUUUAUUUCACACCUUUGCUUCACAAGGAAUUUUAAUAAGGUGAAAAGUUGAAAACUAUUGAAGAAUCUGAACAUUUUUCAACCAUGCCUGGAAACUGUAACAAAAUCUUGCUACCCUGGUGCCAAAAACAGUUUACAGUAAGGAAAGAUUAGAUUAGUCCUAAAGGACUUACUGCUUCUAAAAAAAACUGGCAGACAUCAAUUUUUGGCUGACUUGAGGAAAGCACAUAUGGGAUCCAAGGAAUUCCAGGAGUGAGCAAUCUCAGAAAUGUUUGGAUUCAGAGUCUUCCCUACAGUUAUUCAUCUUAGAGUUGAAAAAUUCAUAAAGUAAGUAAUACCAUCCCUGACUAUCAAUGAGGUAGCACCUUCCACCUCAAGGCCUGCUCAAUGUUAACAUUCUACAGGUCACAUACCAAAUACUAGCAGAGGAGCUGAGGGCAGGGGAGAGGAAAGAGGAACUUCAAACAAAGUGACAAAAGUAUACAAACCAUCACGAACAAAGCUUUUCUGGAUAUUUCAAC
rnacentral:lncRNA from 1 species